UGGCUAUGAUUAUAUAUUAUCCGCGCUUCUGAGUUUUUCUAUGAAGUAUAUCGGAAUAAAUGGUUGAAUUUCUUAAUAUGAGCCA
rnacentral:snoRNA from 1 species